CUGGAAUAUUCUCCCAUUGCCUUCAUCCUUCUCCCCUCAUUAGAAGAAGAAGGCUGCCCAUCAUUUGAACUCCCUUCCUACUUAGGAGUCUCGCUUUCUUUUUGAAUCUAGAUGUCAGGCUGCGAUCCAUUCCCCCCACCACCACCAUCUCCAUCAUAGAAACUGAAAAGCCACAUAUUUGUUUUCCCAGACUCCCUUGAAGCUAUGGAGACAGCAUUGUGACCUAGGCCCAGCCAAUCAGAUGUGCCCAUCCCCAACUUUCAAUCUGAGCUACCAAUGCAAAGAAGCAGGGUGGGUAGGGAUCCAUCCUGGUGCUGAGCAGAGGCCACAGUGGCAGCCACAGGGAUUGCUAAGGGCAGUGGCACCAGGCCUGCGAUUGGGGUUUACAGUUGUUCAACAGCAGUGACAGCAGUGUCUACGCCAGACCGGUUUUGUGAUGUCAUUCUAUCAUGAUCUUGGACUCUGCCUAGCCUAACUUACUCCUGUCCCAUUUUCCAAAAGUGGCUUUGCAGCCUUCUUGGCAAUUCUAUGAAACAGUCAAUAUUCUUCCACAAGGAUCACAUCGACCUAUUUCUGCCUGUUUGCUUCUCUUCCACUAAACGCACUGAAAGGGCAGACUGAACCAGUAGGCAAGCAUGUGCAGACCUUUCUCUCUGCGGGUCAACCCCGACCUGGUCACCCUGAGAGCGGUUCACUUUCACCCUGGCGUGCGUGCAACUGGGAUGUCAGCUCUCUCCGUGGCGAGCAAAGGAAAAUACACGGAAGAUUACAGAGGGGAGAUGUGGAAGGGGUUCGGCAGGGCGCUCCUCAGAGGACACUGCUUCCACCCCUCUUUCCAUGUUUCUCUUCUCCAGAGUCCCUGCACCCCCUCACCCUCCUGGCAUUCCCUAGAACCUGCUUUUUCUGACCCAACUUCACGUGGUGCACAAUAGUGAGGAUUUUCCCUCAAGACCCCAACUUUUUCGCUCUUUGAUGGUACAGAGCAAUUCAACCUCAUCCUUGUGCCUUGUUAUCAGUGUGCCCAGCAAUCAAAGAGCCACCCUUAGAAGGCAGAGGCGGUUAUAAAUAUGACAUCAAACUCUCCUUCUCCCCUCCCAAACAUUUCUCUUCUCACUUGUUUUAAUACAAGAUAAAUCCUGCAACUUCCCAGAGUUCAAAGGUUUUAAAUGUAAAUAGACCAAAGUGAAUUUUUUGCAAAUUGUAAUCAAUUAUCUGUAAACAAAUAAUGCUGACCAUCCCAUCCAUCUCUAAUCCAGGUCCUUCUCCAUGUUCCUCAUCCCAGUGUGUGGCAUCUGUAGCCACGGAGCAGGACACACCCAUUUGGAAUCAUCCUGAUGCUUCCUGUCCUUCGCUCCAUUUCCUCUCCAACCCAAGUGCCACUGAGUUUACCCCUAUAUGCUCAGAAUCCACUUUGUUCGAAAUCCGCCACUGCUACCGGUCUAAGUCAAUAUCGCCUCCCAUCUCCACUACUUCUCAGCCUCUUGUCUCUCCCAUCCACUCUUCCUCCCCUCCACUCUGUUGUCUAUAAAAUAAAAUUUUCUU
rnacentral:lncRNA from 1 species